UUCAAGAAUCCUCUGCAACACCUUUCCAAAGAUGUUGAAGGAGUCUCUUAAAGUCCUCUUAUUCUUUUCUGCCCUGAAGGCAUCACCAACAGCUGGAGCAGAGGAAAGCAUGUCAGCUGUGUCCACAGGGCAUGGUAUUCAUCUUCUUGCUGUGAGAUGAGAGACUUGUCUGGGAAGCAGACUCCACAUGAAAGGUCAGUCUCCUCCAUUUCACACAGUUUGGUCAGAUCAAGAAGAAAUCCAAACAUGUUGCCAAACUCCUGCAUUUGUUUAAAACAGGUAUGGAGAGAAGUGAGGGCCUGGUCCACUAUCACAAUAAAGUAGUCCGUUAUAUACG